rnacentral:rRNA from 1 species
UACAGAGGUCUCAAGCGUUUGUUCGGAUUCAUUGGGCGUAAAGGGUGCGUAGGCGGCGCGGUAAGUCGGGUGUGAAAUCUUGGAGCUUAACUCCGAAACUGCAUUCGAUACUGCCGUGCUUGAGGACUGGAGAGGAGACUGGAAUUUACGGUGUAGCGGUGAAAUGCGUAGAUAUCGUAAGGAAGACCAGUGGCGAAGGCGGGUCUCUGGACAGUUCCUGACGCUGAGGCACGAAGGCCAGGGGGAGCAAACGGGG